ACACUGACGUCGCGACGCAUAUCAAUAAGCGGAGGAAAAGGAAACUAACAAGGAUUCCCUUAGUAACGGCGAGUGAAGCGGGAAGAGCUCAAAUUUGAAAUCUUAAAGGGUUUUCCCUUGACGAAGUGUAGUUUAAAGAAGUGUUUUCUGUUGAAGUUUUGGUAAAAGUUCCUUGGAAUAGGACAUCAUAGAGGGUGAGAAUCCCGUAUUUGACCAUUAUUUUCAGCUUUGUGAUACACUUUCAAAGAGUCGGAUUGUUUGGGAAUGCAGUCCAAAAUGGGUGGUGAAUUUCAUCUAAAGCUAAAUAUUGGCGAGAGACCGAUAGCGAACAAGUACCGUGAGGGAAAGAUGAAAAGAACUUUGAAAAGAGAGUUAAACAGUACGUGAAAUUGUCAAAAGGGAAGCGUUUGACACCAGUGUUGUUUUUCUGAAAAUCAAUUAAAGAACUGUUUAUGCUAAGCUGUUUAGACUUUAUCAGCUAACUGUUUAGUUUUGAGCUUUUCUUUAAUGCACUUUUCAGUUAACAAGUCAACAUCAAUUUCUUUUGCUGUAAAAAAGCUUGAGGAAGGUGGCUUGAGAUUCGUCUUAAGUGUUUAUAGCCUCUUGCCUAUGCAGUCGGAGAGAUUGAGGUCUGCAGCGUAGAUCCUUCGGGGCUAAAUGCAUUUGUGCUAAGUUAUAGCAUUUUAUAGACAACUUGUUGAUCUAUGAUUUGUCUUGUAGCUUACUCGCUUAUGCUAUUUUACCUACGCUUAGGAUGUUGAUGUGAUACUGCGAGCA
rnacentral:rRNA from 1 species